rnacentral:rRNA from 1 species
AUUGAACGCUGGCGGCAGGCCUAACACAUGCAAGUCGAGCGGAGCGGCGGCCGGGUGAUUAAUGCCUAGGAAUCUGCCUGGUAGUGGUGGAUAACGUCCGGAAACUGGCUCUAAUACCGCAUACUCUCCGAUUAGCCUCGGUCGGAUUAGCUAGUUGGUGGGGUAAAUGCCUACCAUGGCGACGAUCCGUAACUGGUCUGAGAGGAUGAUCAGUCACACGGGAACGGAGACACGGUCCAGACUCCUACGGGAGGAAGCAGUGGGGAAUAUUGGACAAUGGGUGAAAGCCUGAUCCAGCCAUGCCGCGUGUGUGAAGAAGGUCUUCGGAUUGUAAAGCACUUUAAGUUGGGAGGCGUUACCAACAGAAUAAGCACCGGCUAACUUCGUGCCAGCAGCCGCGGUAAUAC